AUAAUAAAACAAUAGUUGCUUUUUUGGUUAAUAAUUCAUGUCUAAAAUACUAUUUAGAUAAGAUGAAACAAUUCAUGCUUAAUGAUAUUAAUGCUUUGUGAGCACAUGAUUUUUAGAGAAUCAUAAAUAUGCACACUGCUUCUGAACUUUGGAGAAUUUAUAAUUAUAUUCCUUCAAAUAAUUUCGGACAGGGAGUAUCGAAUAAGAGAAAUACC
rnacentral:lncRNA from 1 species